rnacentral:misc_RNA from 1 species
AGCAGCCGCGGUAAUUCCAGCUCCAAUAGCGUAUAUUAAAGUUGUUGCAGUUAAAAAGCUCGUAGUUGAAUUUCGGGAUUAAUAUGUUGGUCGUGCCUUGGUACGUACUGGCAUUAUUGAUUCCUACCUUCUGAAGAACCUCGAUGUCAUUAAUUUGGUGUCUUGGGGAAUCAGGACCGUUACUUUGAAAAAUUAGAGUGUUUAAAGCAGGCUCGCGCUUGAAUACAUUAGCAUGGAAUAAUGAAAUAGGACGUUUGAUUCUAUUUUGUUGGUUUCUAGGAUCGACGUAAUGAUUAAUAGGGAUAGUUGGGGGCAUUAGUAUUCAAUUGUCAGAGGUGAAAUUCUUGGAUUUAUUGAAGACUGACUACUGCGAAAGCAUUUGCCAAGGAUGUUUUCAUUAAUCAAGAACGAAAGUUAGGGGAUCGAAGACGAUCAGAUACCGUCGUAG